rnacentral:rRNA from 1 species
AGGAAAGUAAAAAGUCGUAACAAGGUCUCCGUUGGUGAACCAGCGGAGGGAUCAUUACUGAGUUACCGCUCAUCAACCCUUUGUGAACAUACCUUAACUGUUGCUUCGGCGGGUAGGCGUCCCCUAAAAAGGACGUCUCCCGGCCCUCUCCCGUCCGCGGGUGGGGCGCCCGCCGGAGGAUAACCAAACUCUGAUUUAACGACGUUUCUUCUGAGUGACACAAGCAAAUAAUCAAAACUUUUAACAACGGAUCUCUUGGUUCUGGCAUCGAUGAAGAACGCAGCGAAAUGCGAUAAGUAAUGUGAAUUGCAGAAUUCAGUGAAUCAUCGAAUCUUUGAACGCACAUUGCGCCCGCCAGCAUUCUGGCGGGCAUGCCUGUUCGAGCGUCAUUUCAACCCUCAAGCUCUGCUUGGUGUUGGGGCUCUACGGUUGACGUAGGCCCUUAAAGGUAGUGGCGGACCCUCUCGGAGCCUCCUUUGCGUAGUAACAUUUCGUCUCGCAUUGGGAUUCGGAGGGACUCUAGCCGUAAAAACCCCCAAAUUUUACUAAGGUUGACCUCGGAUCAGGUAGGAAUACCCGUGAACUUAAGCAUAUCAAUAAGCGGAA